rnacentral:rRNA from 1 species
UAUCUCUGUAGAGUCUGCAUAUCAAUAAGCGGAGGAAAAGAAACUAACUAGGAUUCCCUCAGUAACGGCGAGUGAAGCGGGAAGAGCUCAAAUUUGAAAUCUUCAAGGUUCUACCUUGACGAAUUGUAGUUUAAAGAAGUGUUUUCUGUUGGAGUUUUGGUAAAAGUUCUUUGGAAUAGGACAGUCAUAGAGGGUGAGAAUCCCGUAUUUGACCAUUACUUCCAGCGUUGUGAUACACUUUCAAAGAGUCGGAUUGUUUGGGAAUGCAGUCCAAAAUGGGUGGUAAAUUUCAUCUAAAGCUAAAUAUUGGCGAGAGACCGAUAGCGAACAAGUACCGUGAGGGAAAGAUGAAAAGAACUUUGAAAAGAGAGUUAAACAGUACGUGAAAUUGUCAAAAGGGAAGCGUUUGACACCAGUGUUGUUUUCUCGAAAAUCAAUUAAAAAAGGCAGGAUUUUGUGUUGUAUUGACUUUAUCAGCUUUCUGCACUCUUUUCUUGCUUUUUUUAAUGCACUUUUCGUUUAACAAGUCAACAUCAAUUUCUUUUGUUGUAAAAGAGUCAUUGGAAGGUGGCUUUCACUUCGGUGAAAGUGUUUAUAGCCUUUGGCUUCUGCAAUCGGAGAGAUUGAGGUCUGCAGCGUAGAUCCUUCGGGGCUAGAUACGUAGAUGCUAAGUUAUAGUUUUUUAUAGACAACUUGUUGACUAUAAUUAAUCAUGUAGCUUACUCGUUUGCGCUAUUUUACCUACGCUUAGGAUGUUGAAGAUGUAGCACAUCAU